rnacentral:tRNA from 1 species
UUUAAACGGUUGUAUUGCUCUAGCCCGUCUAACCCUUGCUCCCACAACUGACCAAAGCGUGCCUCUUGCCAUGCC